rnacentral:rRNA from 1 species
GGCCAGACUCCUACGGGAGGCAGCAGUGGGGAAUAUUGCACAAUGGGGGAAACCCUGAUGCAGCAACGCCGCGUGAGUGAAGAAGUCAUUCGUGAUGUAAAGCUCUAUCAGCAGGGAAGAAAAUGACGGUACCUGAGUAAGAAGCCCCGGCUAACUACGUGCCAGCAGCCGCGGUAAUACGUAGGGGGCGAGCGUUAUCCGGAUUCACUGGGUGUAAAGGGAGCGUAGACGGCCAUGCAAGCCAGGGGUGAAAGCCCGGGGCCCAACCCCGGGACUGCCCUUGGAACUGCAUGGCUGGAGUGCGGGAGGGGCAGGCGGAAUUCCUAGUGUAGCGGUGAAGUGCGUAGAUAUUAGGAGGAACACCGGUGGCGAAGGCGGCCUGCUGGACUGUGACUGACGUUGAGGCCCGAAGGCGUGGGGAGCAAACAGGAUUAGAUACCCCAGUAGUC